AUAGCCUCUUGGCCUGUGGCUAAGAUCAUGCAUAGUAUCUGUUCUUAUCAGUUUAAAAUACAGUGGCCAAAACUGGACAUGCUACUCAAAAAUAAGCUAGUACAAAGAAUAGAGAAAAGAACGAGAUCCAUGACCUCGGAUGCCAUAUUCAUUUAAAAAUAUUUCAGCAUCAUGUUGACUUUUU